ACACGAGGAGCAUUUUUGGGCUUUCAUACCAAACAUGUCACCUUCUUCUCUUUUGCUAUAUCAACACAGAAGAAGAGGGUUUAGAGAGAGGAGUAAGAGAUAGAGACAGAGACAGAUUAGAGCUUCAGAGAGAGCAGACCCAUCGUCUCCAGCUGGCCACGCUCUUGGCGGUGGUGAUGGUCGGCUGGUUUUGACGCGGCAAACGGUAGAAGGCGGUGGUGGUUAAGGGUUUCGCUUCCCAUUUUUCAUUUUCUUUCGUAGUAAGAGAGAGAGAUAGAGCAGCGAUGGAUAGAGAGAGAGGAGCGGCGGUCAUGGAAAAACCGGCCAGGUCUCCGACCGGCCGCCCAUGGUGGUGGUUGACGGCGACCGUGACGGCUGUGGCUUCUAGGAUUCCGUCGAGGGUACUAGUGUCUCUCAUCGGAUGAUCUAGACACAGAAUUGGAAACUUGAAGGUGAUCUUGAACAACCGCAACGUCAGAGUAGCUACAGUGCCAGGCAGGUGCUCAUUCUCUCACUCUCUCUGUUUCUCCACCGUUGCAGCCACCAGCUUCCACCUACAAACUUACCUCCAAUGACGUCGCUGCUGCUUCAUUUUCCUCGCUUCACCUCCGGCUAUGACCGUGUGUGAUUAGGGACAGGUGCACACCAACUGUUUGAUGUUUUGUCUCAGAAAAAACUUUCGGUUGAGUUAAAUCUUAUGACUCAUUGAUGUUUCUCAAUUUAAUAAAUGAAAUUGAGCCUAGCCUGCAUGGAGUUACGAGUCAUGUUUCAUUAAGCAAACAAUCGUGUCAGUCCAUGGUUUGUUCAAAGUUAUACCUCCUUCAAAUUUUGUUAUAUAUGAGUGUACCAUUGUAGAACCUUCCUUCCUUCUUUUAAAAGAUUAUAUAAUUACACCCCCAACCAAUUGAAGUUUGAAAUUAUUAUGUCUGAAUAGAUUCGUAUUCAUUUCUCGCUACAUUCAAGUUUGGAUGAUUUUGGCCCCUUGGUUCGGCUUGAAUUAAUCGAAAAAUCAGUGGGUUGGAUGCUUACUACAAAAAAUAUUAGCAAAGGCUAUAAGAAUGAUGAAUAACAUGCUAUUCAGUUUGCCUAUUCGAAAUACACAUUAGGUGUGGACCAUCAGUCAUCUCAAAAAGAUCAAGCUUUUGUGUAUUCGCGGUCGUUUAGAACUAUGAAUCCAUUUGCUAUUUUGAAGGUGAAUAAUGUGUUUUGAGAGCACGUUUAUGUGUUUUGCGGUUUAGCGCGCUGUGUUUCAGAUCAUACCUGAACUGGCAUCAAGCAACUUUGGUGCUUAUAUAAUCUCUUUGGUGCCGUCAGACGACUUUGGUGCUUAUAUAAUCUCAAUGUCACCUCAAAAGCCCGUUAAGAGUCAUACCCUUCUUUGAAAAGCUAGCUGAUCUUAAGGUUGGACCUGCUGCCAUGGCUCGCUUAUUUUCCAUGUAGUGGUAUAAUAACCGAUCAAAUUGUAAUGGCAGUAUGGCACAAACAACAUGCCUAAUUUGUGGAAUGUCUUGUCUUUGAUUUCCAAGUGUCUGUGAUGGUCAUGUGGGUUUUUUUCCGCAUGGCAAUCGGCGUUACCCUUCAAUUUGUGGAUUUUUUUGGAAGAGCAUCAAGCUUUGGAUCUAUUGUGAUUGUUGGCUUCGAUAUUGUAUCACAUGUAUGUAUGAGUCCCUGCCAUUUUUAUUUAUCGGAUGCUUCAAUGGCUAUGAUGGUCACCUGAGCUUUCUGUUGCGAGAAUCAGUUAGCAUAUGGGUUAUGCAUAUAAGUUGUUCUUUAAAAGUGGCUAUGAUGCUUUUAAGUUUGUGAUGGUAAAUGGGCUAUGAUGUUUGCCUGAGCCCUUUCGAGAACAUAUGGCUGGUACGUUUAACUUCAGGAAUGUUUCAAGCUUAUAAAUGUUGUAAGCUGUGUUGUUUUCUUUGUAAGCUUUCCUUUGGAAGCCGCGUGUCCCGUUACCGUGUACUAUAUAACCUCACAUGUUGUUGCUGAUACUAUUGUACAUGUUGAUGUUGACUAUUUCCGUUGCUGGGUUGACUUUAGUUUUAUUAUACGACAAGUUUAAAUUUGCAGAAAUAUAUUUUUUUAGCCUUGGCAGGGCAUCCGAGAUGGUCAUGUGAACGACUUUGCUUUCACAUGGAAACCGGUUAGUGUGCAUCCAUAGCAAAUCUAUCCUCUUUCUUUGACUGUUUCCAUAUCUAAGCCCCUUUGUGUUUAUUAUUCUGUUAUGUUUUCUGGUGAUCCAUUUCUUACACAAACAUAAAGAGUACUGGUGGUUUAGCCCCCAAUAGCAUAAGAAACUUGAACAAUGCAACCAUUAUUCAUAACAAAGACAAUAGCCGCUUCGAAAAUAAUUAGUAACUGACUUUGCUUAGUGAUUACAUGAUCUUGGGCACACUUCACGACCUUUCCAGGUAUGCUUUUCUAUAGGUCUUUGUCGAGUGAUUGUGGAAUUGGAAUACAUUGGUGCAUUUCAGCGAAAUAACAAAUUAUAACCUAAUUUAGUUUUUUUUUUUCUACAUACAUGCAUCUACCAGCUUGAUUGAUUGACAGGUAUAGAAUUUUGGUGUUGGUUAUGAAUUUUGGUGCUGGUUAUGAAUUUUGGUGUUGGAACUUGCUUAUGAAUUUCGGAACUUGCUAAUCCCCAGACCUUUUCCAGUUAGAAGUUAUGGAGAGAACAUAGUUCAGAGGCUUUUGGAAAUUAAUGCAAUGGAGCUGAAAGUGAUCCCAAGGGCCACCACGAUAAGGCUGACCAAAAUGGUAAUCUCCAUAAAGAUGGUUUUAUUUUUAUCUCCAUUUUUUACUACCUUUAAAGAUGGUUUUAUUAUUGUUAGAAAGAAAAAAUGGUAAUCUGGUUUAUAGUUGGGGGACUUGGCCUCGGUCAUCAAGAUCACCAAAUGGAACAAGCUAUAUAUGAGUCAUUUAAGUUUUGUGGAUUUCAUAACUUAUGUUUAUUUAUAUGUGUUUGAAUUUAUCACCAUAAAUUAUUAACAUUAUAUACUGUAAUGUUGUUUUCAUUUUGAUUCCUUAUGAAACACGUCUGUAUGUUUUUGUAA